rnacentral:rRNA from 1 species
AGCAGCCGCGGUAAUUCCAGCUCCAAUAGCGUAUAUUAAAGUUGUUGCAGUUAAAAAGCUCGUAGUUGAAUUUCGGGGUUAGUAGAUUGGUCAUGCCUCUGGUAUGUACUGGUCUUACUGAUUCCUCCUUCCUGAUGAUCCGUAAUGCCAUUAAUUUGGUGUUGCGGGGAACUUGGACUGUUACUUUGAAAAAAUUAGAGUGUUUAAAGCAAGCUAACGCUUGAAUACAUCAGCAUGGAAUAAUGAAAUAGGACGUUCGAUCCUAUUUUGUUGGUUUCUAGGAUUGACGUAAUGAUUAAUAGGGAUAGUUGGGGGCAUUAGUAUUCAAUUGUCAGAGGUGAAAUUCUUGGAUUUACUGAAGACUAACUACUGCGAAAGCAUUUGCCAAGGAUGUUUUCAUUAAUCAAGAACGAAAGUUAGGGGAUCGAAGACGAUCAGAUACCGUCGUAGUCUUAACCAUAAACUAUGCCGACUAGGGAUCGGAUGAUGUUAAUUUUUUAAUGACUCA